AGUGAACGCUGGCGGUAGGCCUAACACAUGCAAGUCGAACGGCAGCACAGUAAGAGCUUGCUCUUACGGGUGGCGAGUGGCGGACGGGUGAGGAAUACAUCGGAAUCUACUUUUUCGUGGGGGAUAACGUAGGGAAACUUACGCUAAUACCGCAUACGACCUACGGGUGAAAGCAGGGGAUCUUCGGACCUUGCGCGAUUGAAUGAGCCGAUGUCGGAUUAGCUAGUUGGCGGGGUAAAGGCCCACCAAGGCGACGAUCCGUAGCUGGUCUGAGAGGAUGAUCAGCCACACUGGAACUGAGACACGGUCAAGACUCCUACGGGAGGCAGCAGUGGGGAAUAUUGGACAAUGGGCGCAAGCCUGAUCCAGCCAUACCGCGUGGGUGAAGAAGGCCUUCGGGUUGUAAAGCCCUUUUGUUGGGAAAGAAAAGCAGCAGGUUAAUACCACGCUGUUCUGACGGUACCCAAAGAAUAAGCACCGGCUAACUUCGUG
rnacentral:rRNA from 1 species